AACGAACGCUGGCGGCAUGCCUAACACAUGCAAGUCGAACGAGACCUUCGGGUCUGGUGGCGCACGGGUGCGUAACGCGUGGGAACCUGCCCUUAGGUUCGGAAUAACUCCCCGAAAGGGGUGCUAAUACCGGAUAAUGUCUUCGGACCAAAGAUUUAUCGCCUUUGGAUGGGCCCGCGUUGGAUUAGCUAGUUGGUAGGGUAAAAGCCUACCAAGGCGACGAUCCAUAGCUGGUCUGAGAGGAUGAUCAGCCACACUGGGACUGAGACACGGCCCAGACUCCUACGGGAGGCAGCAGUGGGGAAUAUUGGACAAUGGGCGAAAGCCUGAUCCAGCAAUGCCGCGUGAGUGAUGAAGGCCUUAGGGUUGUAAAGCUCUUUUACCCGGGAUGAUAAUGACAGUACCGGGAGAAUAAGCGCCGGCUAACUCCGUG
rnacentral:rRNA from 1 species